rnacentral:tRNA from 1 species
AAUCCCUCCUAUACUA